rnacentral:rRNA from 1 species
UGCCAGCAGCCGCGGUAAUACGGAGGGUGCAAGUGUUAUCCGGAAUUAUUGGGUUUAAAGGGUGCGUAGGCGGCAAGAUAAGUCAUUGGUGAAAAGUCUGAGCUCAACUCAGGCAAUGCCACUGAAACUGUCUAGCUAGAGUACAAUUGAGGUAGGCGGAAUUUAUGGAGUAGCGGUGAAAUGCAUAGAUACCAUAAGGAACACCGAUAGCGAAGGCAGCUUACUAAAGUGUAACUGACGCUGAGGCACGAAAGCAUUGGAAGUGAACAGGAUUAGAUA